rnacentral:rRNA from 1 species
UACGGGAGUGGCAAGCGUUAUCCGGAAUUAUUGGGCGUAAAGCGUCCGCAGGCGGUCUUGUAAGUCUGUUGUUAAAGCGUGGAGCUUAACUCCAUUUCAGCAAUGGAAACUGCAAGACUAGAGUGUGGUAGGGGCAGAGGGAAUUCCCGGUGUAGCGGUGAAAUGCGUAGAUAUCGGGAAGAACACCAGUGGCGAAGGCGCUCUGCUGGGCCAUAACUGACGCUCAUGGACGAAAGCCAGGGGAGCGAAAGGGAUUAGAUACCCCUGUAGUCCUGGCCGUAAACGAUGAACACUAGGUGUCGGGGGAAUCGACCCCCUCGGUGUCGUAGCCAACGCGUUAAGUGUUCCGCCUGGGGAGUACGCACGCAAGUGUGAAACUCAAAGGAAUUGACGGGGGCCCGCACAAGCGGUGGAGUAUGUGGUUUAAUUCGAUGCAACGCGAAGAACCUUACCAGGGUUUGACAUCCUGCGAAUCUUUUGGAAACGAGAGAGUGCCUUCGGGAACGCAGUGACAGGUGGUGCAUGGCUGUCGUCAGCUCGUGUCGUGAGAUGUUGGGUUAAGUCCCGCAACGAGCGCAACCCACGUCGUUAGUUGCCAGCAUUUAGUUGGGCACUCUAGCGAGACCGCCGGUGAUAAACCGGAGGAAGGUGUGGAUGACGUCAAGUCAUCAUGCCCCUUACAUCCUGGGCUACACACGUACUACAAUGCUACGGACAAAGGGCAGCAAACUCGCGAGAGCUAGCAAAUCCCAUAAACCGUGGCUCAGUUCAGAUCGUAGGCUGCAACUCGCCUACGUGAAGGAGGAAUCGCUAGUAAUCGCAGGUCAGCAUACUGCGGUGAAUACGUUCCCGGGCCU